rfam:Ovis aries breed Texel chromosome 1, whole genome shotgun sequence.
UCCCUGAAGCCUCAGCUGGUAAAGAAUCUGCCUGCAAUGCAGGAGACCUGGGUUCAAUCCCUAGGCUGGGAA